rnacentral:rRNA from 1 species
ACUCCUGCGGGAGGCAGCAGUGGGGAAUCUUGCGCAAUGGGCGAAAGCCUGACGCAGCCAUGCCGCGUGAAUGAUGAAGGUCUUAGGAUUGUAAAAUUCUUUCACCGGGGACGAUAAUGACGGUACCCGGAGAAGAAGCCCCGGCUAACUUCGUGCCAGCAGCCGCGGUAAUACGAAGGGGGCUAGCGUUGCUCGGAAUUACUGGGCGUAAAGGGAGCGUAGGCGGACAUUUAAGUCAGGGGUGAAAUCCCGGGGCUCAACCUCGGAAUUGCCUUUGAUACUGGGUGUCUUGAGUAUGAGAGAGGUGUGUGGAACUCCGAGUGUAGAGGUGAAAUUCGUAGAUAUUCGGAAGAACACCAGUGGCGAAGGCGACACACUGGCUCAUUACUGACGCUGAGGCUCGAAAGCGUGGGGAGCAAACAGGAUUAGAAACCUCGGUAGUCCCAUG